AAGUCGUAACAAGGUUUCCGUAGGUGAACCUGCGGAAGGAUCAUCAGCGAGGGUUGUGAAUCCACGAGCGUGUGAACCGAGUAUGAGUGGGCAAAGGGGUGGUGUGGUCAUCCGACGCAAGUCGGCGCAGAGUUCUGGGGCGCAGAGUUCUGGGGCGCAGAGUUCUGGGGCGCAGAGUUCUGGGGCGCAGAGUUCUGGGGCGCAGCGUCCUGGGGCGCCUGCCGCCUGCACCGCCCGCCCGCAUUCUAUUUCCGAGCAUUGGUCACGAAUAAAAGAGUACAGAGUCUUAACUACAUAUAGUUAACACAACUUUCAACAAUGGAUCUCUUGGCUCUC
rnacentral:misc_RNA from 1 species